rnacentral:rRNA from 1 species
UGGGCGUAAAGAGCUCGUAGGCGGUUUGUCGCGUCUGCCGUGAAAGUCCGGGGCUCAACUCGGGAUCUGCGGUGGGUACGGGCAGACUAGAGUGAUGUAGGGGAGACUGGAAUUCCUGGUGUAGCGGUGAAAUGCGCAGAUAUCAGGAGGAACACCGAUGGCGAAGGCAGGUCUCUGGGCAUUAACUGACGCUGAGGAGCGAAAGCAUGGGGAGCGAACAGGAUUAGAUACCCUGGUAGUCCAUGCCGUAAACGUUGGGCACUAGGUGUGGGGGACAUUCCACGUUUUCCGCGCCGUAGCUAACGCAUUAAGUGCCCCGCCUGGGGAGUACGGCCGCAAGGCUAAAACUCAAAGGAAUUGACGGGGGCCCGCACAAGCGGCGGAGCAUGCGGAUUAAUUCGAUGCAACGCGAAGAACCUUACCAAGGCUUGACAUGAACCGGUAAUACCUGGAAACAGGUGCCCCGCUUGCGGUCGGUUUACAGGUGGUGCAUGGUUGUCGUCAGCUCGUGUCGUGAGAUGUUGGGUUAAGUCCCGCAACGAGCGCAACCCUCGUUCUAUGUUGCCAGCGCGUUAUGGCGGGGACUCAUAGGAGACUGCCGGGGUCAACUCGGAGGAAGGUGGGGACGACGUCAAAUCAUCAUGCCCCUUAUGUCUUGGGCUUCACGCAUGCUACAAUGGCCGGUACAAAGGGUUGCGAUACUGUGAGGUGGAGCUAAUCCCAAAAAGCCGGUCUCAGUUCGGAUUGGGGUCUGCAACUCGACCCCAUGAAGUCGGAGUCGCUAGUAAUCGCAGAUCAGCAACGCUGCGGUGAAUACGUUCCCGGGCCUUGUACACACCGCCCGUCAAGUCACGAAAGUUGGUAACACCCGAAGCCGGUGGCCUAACCC